rnacentral:lncRNA from 10 species
GUCGGCCCUCCGAACCCGGAAGUGAAGCGAUAAGACGCACGGUGUUCUGGGAGGAGUUACGCAGGCAGGGUUGUGGUUGCUGGCUGUUACCAGGACAACCGGAGGCGAUUGACCGUUAUCUGCGGUUUGGAGCCGUUAGCGGGAGAGGCAGAGAUAUUCAGAGGUCUUUUAGGAUGCGCUAAAGGGUCGUGAGGGCUCUCUUAAAAUUUUCUUCACAAGCGGUUAUCCAGUCGUGCCCCGCGGCCCUGCUGCUGGCCCCGGGGAUCUGAGUCGUACCCUCUUGUUUUUCUCUGAGUCAGUCUUAAGGUGAAAUGAAGUGUGGCCCAGUGGCUCCUCACUGUCGCUUCUCUAGUUUUCUGCCUCCUUUUAGAAAAUUGAAUUGAAAAGACAGGAUGAAGUGGACACAGCAUGUGAAGACAAUUCUUUCAAGAAGUUUGGCUGUCAAGGAAAACAGAGAAUGUGCUAAAGAACAUACAGACACAGAGCAGACAGGCCACCUUUGCAACCACAUGGAGGUUUGUCUGAUAUUGAAGCUAAAGAAGCUAAGCUGGAAGACAGAGAGACCAAGUCCUGAUGACAUUGUUUGAACCCAGAGAUCCAGACAUGCCUGAAAACUAGUUUUACCACUGGACUUAUCCGUUGAAUGAGCCAAUAAACUCUCUUUUAUACUUAACCUUGGGUUUUACCUGGAUUUUUGUCAUUGACAGCUCAAAAUAUUCUAAUAUAGAAGUAUACAUCAUUAAAUCAACAUUUCUUUUUUUCUCUGUCUUAUUUUAAAUGUAACUCUAUAAGGUACUCUAAAAGUAUUCUACAGUCUCACUAAGUUAAUCUGCAAAUUUGGUAAAAUUCCAAUAUUAAUCCCAAAAGUAUUUUAAGAGCUUGUUUUUGUUGUUUGCUUGUUUGGGACUAAACAGAAUUACUCCAAAAUUCAUUGAGAGAAAAAAAAACAUGAAAAAAAAAACAAGAAAAUAGAAUUCAUAAAAGGAAAUUGUAUUAUAUAACAAAGCAUAAAACAAGAAUAAUAAACAUAGAGUGGUAAUGGAAUAAAUAAACAGUCAUGGAACAGAAUUCAAAGCCUGAAUAUAUCUAAGAGCACUUACCAAAUUUAAUAUGUGGUACAUCAAGAAAAGAUUAAUCCAGUAAAGUAUAUAAGUACAUUGAGCUAGAUUUAGAGGAGAAAGAUAAUUAGAUCGUUACCUUAUUCCCAGAAUAAAUUUCAAAUGGAUUUGUGACUUAAGUGUAAAAAUUGAAGCCAGAUUCUCAAUAUACAUUGAUUGGCAUAUAAUUGGCACAGUCUUUAGCAAUAUCAAUUAAAUGUUAAAUAUUAAUAACAACACAGCCUUUCAAUUCUAGAAAUAUAUCCUACAGAAACAAAAUAUAUGUAUAAAUAUAGAUAAUGCAGUAUUGGAAUAUCAAAAGUAGUACACAUAUGAAAUAGGAUAUGGAAUACCUAUAUCAUGAAUUCACGGGGUGGCAACAUCGCAACAAGGAGGUGAAAAUUGAUUCUUGAGGGAAAUUUUUUUUUCUAAAGCAUAGAUAUGUGUGUAAAGCACAUAAACAAAUAUACAGUAUAUAUGUGGUAUUGAAACUUCAUGGGAGAGUAAUAAUUAAGAAAAAAAUGUCUACACUGGGUGCAGUGGCUCAUGCCUGUUAUCCCAACACUUCGAAAGGCCAAGGUGGGUGGAUCAUGAGGUCAGGAGUUCAAGACCAGCCUGGCCAAGAUGGUGAACCCGCAACUGUACUAAAAAUACAAAAAUUAGCCGGGCAUGGUGGCAGGCGCUUGUAAUCCCAGCUACUCAGGAGGCUGAGGCAGGAGAAUCGCUUGAACCUGGGAGGUAGAGGUUGCAGUGAUCCAAAAUCACGCAACUGCACUCCAGCCUGGGUGACAAAGUAAGACUCCAUCUCAAAAAAGAAAAAAGAAAAAAGUCUAAAAGGCUGAGAAAAACUGUGGUAUACAAUUCAAUACCAUGUUAAAAAGAAUGAGGUAGACUUGUAUGUUGACAAAAGAGGAUGUCCCAAGAUGCAUUGCUUUUAAAAAACAAGUUGUAAAAUAAUAUGCAUAAUAUGGUUCCUUUUUUAAUGAUUAAUAUAUGUUGAUACAAAUGAAAAAGUAUUGAUGGUGUUUUUCUCUGGGGUUAAAAUUAAUGUUUAAUUCUAUAUUAAGUAGAGGGGUCCAGCCAGAGGAGGGUCGGAACAGGGGCCCCUUACUUGGUGUAAGUACUACAAUAUAAUUCCCACAGUCUGAGUUUUGCAGAUCAAAUCCCCAAGGUGUCAUUAAAUAAGAGUUUUUUAUUCCCUCUAUUUCCUAUAAAUUGAUGUUUAGAUCUAGGAGCCUGAUCAGAUUCAGGUUCAAAAUUGUUGGUAGUAUUUCAUAAGUGACUUUGUGUGCACCCAUCAGGAGGCACAUAAAAUCUAUCACUUUUUAAUUGAGUUAUAAUUAAAAUACACAGAUCGUAACUGCUCAAUUAGUUUUCACAAUUGCGUGCAGCCAUGUAGCUUCCUCCAAAAACAAGAUACAGAAUAUUUCCUUCACUCCAGAAAGUUCUCUCAUGGGUCUUUAUAGUCAGUUCCUGUCCAGGCCCAGAGCCAACUAUUUUCUCAUUUCCGUCACCAUAGAUAGUGUUUUAGUUCAUUUAUGCCACUAUCACAAAAUACCCUACACUGGGUAAUUUAUAAAUAAUAGAAAUUUAUUUAUUACAGUUCCAGAGGCUGGGAAGUCCAAGAUCAAAGCACCAGCAGAUUCAGUGUCUGGAACAGGGAAAAAGCUAAACCUAUGGAUGUGAAACUAAACAUUAUCAAGAACUAUGUGCCAGGAGAAGACAGCUAACAUCAAAGGUUGCUUGGAACUGACUGAAUGCACAUUGCAAAUCUCAAGAAGCUCAAAGCUGUUGACUGACUAGAGUGGGCACACGCCUUUAACCCUCACUUUGUUCUUACCAUCCUCAGAAUCCCACGCAGGAAAAGGCCCAUCUGUCAAUGAGCAAUAUUGUAGAACCAGCCAGGAGCCACAACUCCUCUUUAAGGGACUCAAGCACCUCACUCAUGUCUUCUUCCUCAAAGUCCACCUGCCUGGCUAGCCUUCAAGCCAUCGACCUGUGGAGGGUGGAGGAAACCACCCCCACUAACUCCAACCCUGCAUCCAACAGCUUUCCCUGCUUAUGCCACACCUCAACUUCCUUCCCUUGCUCUUUCUUUCUUACCCUGCACUCCUCCUACCCUUGGCCACUUCACCAAUUACCCACUGGUACUUCAACAAGCCCAUCUGGGUCCUCUCCUUCCCCAGCCUGAUGGAGGCUGCAUAGUUAUCCUGGAAACAGCACAGGCUUUGGAUAAAAACAAUACGUUUGACUUUUGGCUCUGCUUUGAUGAUCUUUAUGAGCUUGGGCAUGUUAUAUAGCCCCUCUAAGUCUGUGUCUUCAUCUGUUAAAUAGAGAUAAUAAGAUUUACCUUGCAGGAAUGAAAUGAUGUAUUUUGCAGCAACUUGGAUGGAGCUGGAGGUCAUUAUUCUAAGUGAAGUAACUCAGGAAUGGAAAACCAAAUAUCAUAGGUUCUCAUAAGUGGGAGCUAGGCUGUGAGGACGCAAAGGCAUAAGAAAAUUCGUGGGAAGACUUUGGGGACUUGUGGGGAGAAGGUUGGGAGGGGUGAGAGAUAAAAGACUAUACAUUGGGUAUGGUGUACACUGCUCAAGUGAUGGGUACACUAAAAUCUCAG